AAUUCUCAACCUCACCAGUUUUGUAACGAGACAGGUGAAGGCUUGGAUGUGGGGGUUUUGCAGGCUGCCUCAGUGCUGGUCUGCUCCCCUGAAAUGCAUUAGCGAGCUCAUAUUGAGCUUCCAUCUUUUGGUGUGAUAAUUAUCUACGCCGUGGACUGGAACUCUGCUUGCUUCUAACCGUCCGCAAGGACAAUUUACUUGACCA
rnacentral:misc_RNA from 2 species